UGACUCUGCCCGAUAGUGGGGGAUAACCUGGGGAAACCCAUGCUAAUACCGCAUACGUCCUACGGGAGAAAGGGGGCUCCGGCUCCCGCUAUUGGAUGAGCCUAUGUCGGAUUAGCUAGUUGGUAAGGUAAUGGCUUACCAAGGCAACGAUCCGUAACUGGUCUGAGAGGAUGAUCAGCCACAUCGGGACUGAUACACGGCCCGAACUCCUACGGGAGGCAGCAAUGGGGAAUAUUGGACAAUGGGGGCAACCCUGAUCCAGCCAUGCCGCGUGUGUGAAGAAGGCCCUCGGGUUGUAAAGCACUUUCAGCGAGGAAGAACGCCUAUCGGUUAAUACCCGGUAGGAAAGACAUCACUCGCAGAACAAGCACCGGCUAACUCCGUGCCAUCAGCCGCGGUAAUACGGAGGGUGC
rnacentral:rRNA from 1 species